ACAGCCGCAAAGAAACCACGGCGGCGGGGCUGUAAUCAGAGGCAGAACGGCUCGCUGUUUCCUAGCAAUGGAUAACGGCCUUGAUAAGUGUUAGAAAGCAGUAAACCUCGGAGGCAGCAACAGUGUGUGUGCACGUGACGGGUUUAGUCCGAAAAGUGGGGCAGGUGCGCCAGAAUGGGUGCGCACGCAACGAGAUGCCUGUAGAGGCACUGAGCAACCACGUCCCCAUCGUUACUCGUCUCCAGGAAGCACAAGCGGUUGCAGCAACGUUCAUGCCCGAAUGUGUCUAAUUGAUCGGUCCGGCAAGUUGAGAAAUACAAGAACGAAGUUCCCAACAAGCACGAGCAGAAGCGUAGCGCGUAACGACGCCAGCCUCAUCGCCAUCGACAUUCUCCAACGCCGUUUCAAGGCAGCCCGUGCAGACUGUCUCUAUCUAUUCUGCUAUACCCGAACAUGAGCACUUCGUUCUUUUCUUCGUUGACUUUCUCGCACGCUUCCAGAACUUUUGUCACGUGUUCGGCUUUAUCGACUGUGACAGUCACGUCGUCUGCGAACGGUCCGACUGGUACUACCGCACCCGAUGGCGAUCACCGGUCCCCAACUGCAGUUUUUCAAUGUGGUGGCGAGCUGGCGAGGGUCUGUCCAUGACAGCCGCAUCUUUGACAACUUUCGAUCACGAGUUUUGUACGAAGAGCACCGGGUGGCUGGACUGCUGCUAGUAGACAUGGGCUAUGCCUGUUCCCCGCUUCUCAUGACUCGCCAGACACGGGACCGAAAGACACAGCAUGAGGCAGCCCUGCACAAAUCUGAUGAUCCACAUCGAUUAAGAACUACCACUUGCUGAGAGUAGUGGCUAUUGAC